AACAAUCCUGUAAAACUUUGUAGGCUUAACUACUGCUACUCAGAUAUAGCAAUCUGAAAUGGCCCUCAGGGCCUAUACCAGGGACUACUAUCUGCUGUGGAUCAAGGGAAUGAAACCCUUUUAAUCUGUAACACAUUCCACUGGUAUCUCAUCGAAGCCAUACAUUAAGCCUAACUCACACAUUUCUCAUCAAGAAACGUAAAACAGGAUUCAUGUACAGGGGAUUAAUCAUACAUCACACUAUAGUAAUGAUACUAGGAAAAGCACAAGUCUAUCCAGUAUACGACAGUACAUAUCUAUACAUUACAUUACAACUAAUCUUUUAAUUACAUCAUGUCCACUACACUAUUACAGCAUACAUUCACGCACAACUUUCCUCUGUACUCUUGCUGACUUUGACUUCCCAUAGCUAUCUCAGAACCUGCAAAACUGGGGUUAAGGGAGUGGGAUGAGCUCUAGAGCCCAGUGAGGAGGAACAAUAAAAACAGUUCAUUCAUUACAUGCUCUCAUGAAAUGCAUCACAUCACAAACAUAUCAUUUCAAGGAUGAAUUUGUCACCAAUAACCCUUAACUACAUGUUAUAAUAAUGCCAACUAUGCCAAGGAGACUAUGUCAUCACCUGGUCUACACUUAUCUCUCUGAUAUCAUAACAUGACCAACUGUGCAAAGGAGACGAGGUCUCACCUGGUCUACACUUAACUCUGAUUUGACAGCCCAGCUGUCUCACUCAUAGUACCAGGAGCGACCUGGACUAUCCAGGGGCGACCUGGUAUGGCUAUCUCAUGCCAUAACUCUGUAUCUGCUC
rnacentral:lncRNA from 1 species